rnacentral:rRNA from 1 species
UACGUAGGGCGCAAGCGUUAUCCGGAAUUAUUGGGCGUAAAGAGCUCGUAGGCGGUUUGUCGCGUCUGCCGUGAAAGUCCGGGGCUCAACUCCGGAUCUGCGGUGGGUACGGGCAGACUAGAGUGAUGUAGGGGAGACUGGAAUUCCUGGUGUAGCGGUGAAAUGCGCAGAUAUCAGGAGGAACACCGAUGGCGAAGGCAGGUCUCUGGGCAUUAACUGACGCUGAGGGGCGAAAGCGUGGGGAGCGAACGGG